rnacentral:rRNA from 1 species
UUCAGUGAAAUCGAGUAGGGCGGGACACGUGAUAUCCUGUCUGAAUAUGGGGGGACCAUCCUCCAAGGCUAAAUACUACUGACUGACCGAUAGUGAACCAGUACCGUGAGGGAAAGGCGAAAAGAACCCCUGUGAGGGGAGUGAAAUAGAACCUGAAACCGUGUACGUACAAGCAGUAGGAGCAGGCUUUGUCCUGUGACUGCGUACCUUUUGUAUAAUGGGUCAGCGACUUAUAUUCAGUGGCAAGGUUAACCAUCUAGGGGAGCCGUAGGGAAACCGAGUCUUAACUGGGCGUUCAGUCUCUGGAUAUAGACCCGAAACCAGGUGAUCUAGCCAUGGGCAGGUUGAAGGUUGAGUAACAUCAACUGGAGGACCGAACCGACUAAUGUUGAAAAAUUAGCGGAUGACUUGUGGCUAGGGGUGAAAGGCCAAUCAAACCUGGAGAUAGCUGGUUCUCCCCGAAAGCUAUUUAGGUAGCGCCUCGGACGAAUACUACUGGGGGUAGAGCACUGUUAAGGCUAGGGGGUCAUCCCGACUUACCAACCCUUUGCAAACUCCGAAUACCAGUAAGUACUAUCCGGGAGACACACGGCGGGUGCUAACGUCCGUCGUGGAGAGGGAAACAACCCAGACCGCCAGCUAAGGUCCCAAAUUACUACUAAGUGGGAAACGAUGUGGGAAGGCUCAGACAGCCAGGAUGUUGGCUUAGAAGCAGCCAUCAUUUAAAGAAAGCGUAAUAGCUCACUGGUCGAGUCGGCCUGCGCGGAAGAUGUAACGGGGCUAAGUAGUAAACCGAAGCUGCGGCAAU